rnacentral:piRNA from 1 species
UGAUCUAACAGAAACAGGUGACAUUAUGAUGU